AUGUAUGAUGUGAGCGUGGUGGGGCAUGUGGGUCCUCGGUGUUGUUCCCUAGCAGAGGAGCACAUGUGAUUUCAUGUACAGGCUGUGGGAUGCAUCUCCCAGAGCUCCUAAGUCCAUGGCUGGGCUGGAGACGGAUGAUUUAUUCCUCCUCCCCAGGAGCUGGCAGGCAGUCCCGGGAGCUCUUUGUUGUCGAUGUUCCUCUUGCAGGAUCCCCUUGGCCGUUUCAGAGCCCUGUGUGCCGGCCUGGGGAAUCCAGGGUGUGUGGCACGCACAGGUGGGGCCAGCACUGUGUGUGGCACAGGUGAAGCAGCACCGUUUGUCAAAGCUGAAAAGCCAGCAGAAGAUGGCAAGAAAUCCAGAAUCCUUUCCUGGCUGAGGUGUUGGGAAGCCUCCUCCCCAGGAAGCCCCAGUUUGCCCCAGAAACGAGUUCAUUAGUGUGCGUUGCUGUUCAUGCAGGAAGGUGUGGGGUGUCCCGGGGCUGUCUGUGCUGGAGUGGGGAAUGUCACCUCGGAUCAGGCUGGCAGUGCUCCCAGCCCUGCUGCCCAGGGCAGUGCAUCUCUGAGCUCUCCUGUGAUGCACAGUGACUGCCCCACCUCAGCAGCAUCGCAGCCUCGCUGGCUGCAAGCAGAUGAUAAUGGGGGCCACCUUCUGCAGCUCAGAUAAAUGACAGGGCUGGGGAAGGUCACAGCUCGGUGUGAACAGUCCUCCACACCUUGCAAGGAAAAGAAAAAUCCCAUACUCUGCGUAGUGCCUUUCCUGCUCCCGUCUCUCUGCUUACACAGGUGGAAAUGUUGAAAUUAAAUAGCAGAGCGAGGGCGAGCGUGUGACUGUUGUGUUUUGAUGUGGCUCCUAAAUUGCCCUUCGUUGUCAGAAGCUGUUAGGCUGAGGAGUGAAAUGCACUCCUGGAGUGGCAGCAGCAAUUGGUAAUUACCUUUAAUUCUCCACAGGGGCACCCAGAGCUGUGGGGUUUGCCCACGUGGCAGUCGGAGCUGAUGCACAGAGAACAGGGGUAGGGCUGCCCGCGAUGCUGGAGUGGGGAGAGGCUGAAAUGGGUUUGUGUCCCCUUUUCCAGCAGCCUUUGUGCCCAGAGAGUGCCACGGGCAGCUCAGGGGCAGCUGCCCCAGCCCCUUUGCCUCGGAGCUAGACUGAGAAAGGGCUGAUAGCAACAAGGUGGGAGCAUCCCUGAUUUGUUUUUUCCUAGCAGCUGCUUUUUUCUCACCAGCCCUUCCCCACCCCAAGGGCUCUGAGAAAGCAGCAGGGUGAGGAGGUGCGUGCUGGAGCUGGUGGGAUGGGGGAAGCCGUGGGCACUCUGCUGUAGGAACUGCUCCCAACCGCGAUGGAGUUUCCAGUCAUCAGCUCUCCAGUGGAAGCAAGACUGGAAAACGUAACACACCAUGCCCUAAUCCACUCCAUGUGGUGUCUGUCCAUAGCUCCCCACUUCUGUCUGGCAGUGAAGCUGCUGGGUUUCUCCAAGCCCAAGCACAGAGGAAGAUUAGGUGCACUGCUGUGCCCUCUGCUUGCUGGCACAACUUCUUUUCUGCUCCGUGGGCUCGAAGAUGUGCUUUGUUUUAUUGUCUCCCUUUCUUUUGAGAGGUACAAAUACAGUGACAGAAACUAUCAUAUUCAAUUGGACAUGCUCUCUACAGAUUUGUUAAGGAUUUACUCUACACAUUUGUAGCAUUUAGUUGCCAUGGCAAUGACCUCGGUGCAAGAGGGAACAGCCUUUAGGUUGGACCUCAGAUUUUCCUUUCAUUUCCAUUUAAUUUGAUUUGACUGUGAAAUGUCACUUCCAUUGCAUUGAUUAAGCUUCACUGUGGCCACCAGCUCUGUUAGAAAGGUUAAAGGGCAGGCCAGUGGCUGUCAUUUUUCUCCCCUCACCCUUUUCUGAUACCAGUAUAGGUUUGGUUUGGUUUGGUUCGGUUUUUUCCAGAGGUGGACCGAGGUUUUUACCCCAUGGUGUUCCACAGCAAAAGCAAAACUAAUGCAGCAACAGUUUGAGGGGGUGCUGACCUCCAGCUCCCUCAGACAAUUUCACAGCACCCGAAAAACAGGAAUUUGUUUCUCUUUUCCUUCCUGACAUGCGCUCACCCCUUAGAUGGAUAAAUUGGAUUUAUUCAAUUAUAAAGGGAGGGAGGACAUGUUGGAGGGAGGGCAGCCCCCUCUUUUCCCAAAAUCUGUUGUCCCCAGGGUGUGUCAGUGCCUGCUGGCCGCCAUGGGGCAGGGAGUCACUGGGGCUGUGUGGGGAGCACCCUCUUGCCCAGGCUCUUUCUGGCUAGGUUGGCAUUUGCAGGUUUUAUGCAACAGGUGUAAAGCAGAGGAUGGCAGCGUGUUGGGAUGGGAGGCUCCAAAGGAGAGCCAGGCAGAAGCAAGGAUUGCUUUAAGCAGCGUUGUGAAAGGCAAACAAAUUGAAAUGGCUACGGUGUUAUUCUUCAUUCCCAGUCAAAGGCACUCAACCUUUGUAAGCAAUAGAGCCCAUCUGCAGAAUGCAAAGGUGCAAGAAAUGGGGCUGCAUUUGUAAAGAACUGCCCCUCUUGCUGCCCUAAGACGUCUGCUCUGUGCUGUGUGCGCUGCCAGGGACUUGGAUAAAUUAGCUCUGCUCAUUCAGGUGCUGCAGAACCUCGGGUGCCUCUUUUGUCUGCAUCUCUGUAUUAGCAGGCACAGGAGCCUUCCUGGCAAGCUGGCUUUUUGCUGUGAGCCAGCUUUUCUGCCACAUGCUUCGACUAAACAUCAGCUAAAAUAUCAUCUUGAAAUUUGCAUAGUGCGUGAUAACUGAAGUUAAGAUUUCUCCUGCUUAGCUUGGUCAAAACUUAAAGUAAGUCCUAUAGUUAUGUGUUGUGUUGGUUUUUGUUGAAUAGAUCAGACGCUCAUUUUGAAAACUUUGGUUCUUCUUACUAGUCCAACGAAUAAUUGCUUUUAAAGUUUGUUUAGUUGCUUGGAAUUUAAAAAGAAAUUAAUAAACCAGAAGUAUCAAACAGCUUGGUCUGAAGGGAGGGAUGCAAGGAAGGCUCAUUAAAACAGGCAUGUGAGUACAAACGGGUGGGCUGGUGAGGAAGAGGCCUGCAAAAGUCAAGGGAGAAAAAAUGUUUGACCAGGCACAGGGUAAAUGAUGCAAGGAGAAACUCAAACCCCAAAGUACUACAUAUGGCUUGGGAAUCUUUGCAGCUGAAGGACUGAUUUUCUUUCCUGACUGAGCUGAGCUUCAAAUUAAGCCUCUUUCUUUUUGGAAAGGAGGGCUGAACUGCUGUGAAGAAAGCUGCAGCUCUGGAGCCUGUGCAUUGGCUGCAGGGUGGAGAAAUAACUCACACAUAUCAGAGGGGGAAUGUAUUGAACUUCUCUUUCUGAUUUCUGCUCCCAUCUCUGAAAUGUAACAUCUAGCAUCAGGGCCACCCCUACAGAGACAUCAUCCCACGGUGGCUGGUCAGGGCCAGCUCUGGAAGGGUGCAAAUCCCUGGGAUAAACAUCUCUGCUCCCCCUGCGUGGCUCAGGGGAGAGGGCUUGAGCUGGGGCGAGGUUUUCAGAGGGACAAUCCUUCCUGCUGCGUCCCUGUGUGUCACACAGGAGGGUGUGACUUCAGCUGCGGCCCUGAAGCUCAGAGCUCCCUGGCAGUGCAGGUGAGAGCUGUGGCUCUGUCAUCUGAGCUUUACACUGCUGCUGGGAUGACUGUCAGAGGGAGGACAGAAUCCCCCCGCUAGGUGCCCUUCCUGAAGGCACUCUUCGCUUCCAAAAACUUUUCUGUUUGCUUCCAAAAACUUACACAAAGAACUGGUGGCAGAAAGAAGGAUGAGAGAGAGAGAGAAAAGGAUGAGGAGAGAGAGGGAUGUAACUUCCCACAUAAACCAUAAGAUAAAAACCCCUCCUAAAGCUGGGGUGACCCUGAGCAGCCCAGCUGGUGGCCUGUGGGAUGGUGCUGUCUGACAAAGCUUUUCUGCUCUGCCCUUGCCUUGGGACUGGUGGGAAGUGGCGAUGCUGGAUGUGAAAUCCAGCAGCUGCUGAGUACUUCUGCUUAUCCAUGCAGAUUGUCCCCAUGGCCUUGGGGGGAGGAGGGGUUUGGCACUGCUUGAGCUGGACACUGGCCCGUGGAGGUGCCCCAAAAAUUGGGAUGCUGCUCAUGGCUUUGGAUGUUCUCUAUUGUCUUAGCCUGGGUUUGUAAAAGAGAAUGUUAGUUCUGAGCUCUGAGCGUGCCUGGGCAUCACAAACAUUUCUGCUGCUUUUCACUGCUUGGAAAGGACCCAGUUUUGGGGCAAGGUGGUCAGUUCCCCUUUGCCACAGAAGGAUGAUAAUAUUCUCAGAAUGUACAUGCAGAUGCUAUGGACUUCUACAGAAGAGGAAUUCUUCUGCAGUAAUGUUUAAAAUCCUCCCAAAUUCACAAUUAGUUACACUCUGAGUCAGUGUUUGGAGGUGAAGAAACUGUGGGACCAUGGAAAAAACAUCAGAUGAGGAGACAAUUCUUGACUUCUCUGUGCACUCUAGCUUGUUUUUUUUUUUUUUUUUUUAAUAUGGAUCAUGGUGUUUGGUUCCCUGUAUAAAAACAAUUAGAGGCCUUCAGAGUACAUGACUGAUGCCAGUAUUGCUAGUUUUUGUUGUAAUUUAUGAAGAGGUUCCUUUUAGAAAAACAGUGUUUAAGACUAAAUACUGAAUGUGGUGCUUGUUCUUCGUGGCAGUUGUGCCAUGUGGUAGAAAUCCCAUUUUCCAAACUCCCAGCCACACCCUGUGAUGGAGACAGAAGAACAGCAAAUAGCUUUGUUCAGAUGUCUCCUGUGUCAUCCUCUCAGCUAAAAAAGCUGUAUUAAAAACCUAAAGCAGGUGGAGGAAGUUAAAAGCUGAAUUCCGAAAAUUCCAUCGGAUACAGUAUCACAAAUCUUUGCUCACAAAUGAGACCAAAUGGAUUUUUGUUUGGUUUUUUGGCCAUACCCAGCUGCUCCUCCUGCCAUCAGAAGCGUGUCUGGCUCAUGGUGUGAGCCCUGAGAUGUUCCAGCAGGGAGGAGCUGCUGCACCCCCUUGUUGGGGCAGGUGUGGGGGGACCCUCCACCCAGAGCGGGGCAAUCCCCAUCUCCCUGGGGCUGUUGGGGGCAGCCACAGAGGUAAAUUCACACCUCCCUUUCCCCCUCAAACAUGUCAUUUUACUCUGUACCCUCCGUGGAAGGUGUUCUCUCCCCAGGUAGCCAAAUGUGCCCUAUUUAGGCAGGGAAGGGAGAAGCUGUUUAAUUCCUCUGCACAAAGUGAGCAGGAUUCAGCAGCUCCAGCUCCAACACAUUUUUUUUUUUCCACUUCUCAGCAGGAGCUGAGUAUUGGCAUCUCUCCCACAGCAUCAUGCCUUGUUGUUUUCUCUCAAGCAAAAACAACAGAAAAGGGAGAUGAAAAGGAAGAAGCAGACAGAUCUGAAAGAGGAUCCUUAGCUCCGAGGUCUGGUGGGACCUCCUUGCAAACAUUUGCAACUCGGUGUCACCCAUGCCAAAGUCACUCUGCAGCUUUCAGAACCUUUUAUAAUCUCCAGAAUGUAGACACUGUCUUUUCUUUCUUCUGUUUGCUGCUUAACAGGAGCAGUUCGUAGUAGAUUUUAUCUGUUUAGCCCUGGAUUUUAGAAUGUGAUAAUCACGUUGUGGCAUUCAUAGGUCAUGCCAUGGUAUGCUAUUAAUACCUUUGUUGUGUAUUAACCUUCUCAAAGCAAUUGUGUGGAGGCAUAAAAGGAGAGGAGCCUUCCCUAGUUUUAAGCUGAAUUACCAAUUUGAAUGUCAGGCCAGGUUCACAAAAAUUUCCAAAAUAGGUGAGAGUUAUAAAUAAAACUGAAUGUGUUACUGUUUGGGGGGAAAGCUGUGGAGCUCAGUUUUUUCUUCCAGCUCAGCCCCAGAAUAGACACAGGCUGUUUUUCACUUUGAGCUUUUAGAUUCCAGCAGACCUCAAACUUAACAAAAAGAUCAGAAGAAUUUUAUGAACUGAGGAGUGAGUUUCAUGCAGAUAUGAAUCAGCACUGAUAUCUUGGCUACUGUCAUCAUGUGAGUAUGCUGUCAUUGCAGCAGAUAUGAUAAAUUUGGGAAUCUUAAACUGAACAUACUUGUCCAGUAUGCCUAUGAGGCAAAGCAGGGAAAAGAGAAUUUUUCAAAUGCCAGCAAUAAUAGUAUUUUUAGAGAAAAAAUAUUUUACCUGUGGUCUUUAAAUUUUGUCUGUAAACUCCAUUCAGAUUUUGAGAUGCAGGAGGACUUACUGGGAUUUUUGGGGCACCAAGCCAAUACAAACAUCAGAAAUAAGAGGAAAUCGUAGAGCUGUUUUCUUAUUGUUAAUAGCAUAAUGCAUCUUUUGUUGGAUCUCCUCUCUGCAGGGCCCUCCCUGCUGCAGUAGUGCCAUUUACCCCUGUCUUUUAUGGUUUCAAAGGGCCUGUUCUGCAGAGAUGCUUACAAACUGCACUGAGGGCUGAAAAAUUCUUGCAGAGAAUCAGACAGUUCUGAUUGACCAAGUAAACUUAAUUCCUAGUGACACGAGAAAAAUUAAUUCGAGCAUUUGGAGAGAUGAGGUUUGGGGGAGUUGAUAGUGUUGAUCUAUAAUGUGAGUCUUUAAUGUCUGAAGGCUUCAAGUCAGUGUUUAUAGAGAACCCUCUUCACUUUGCCCCCAUUUUGAAGCACUUAUUUUCCUCUCUGCUUGCAAAGAUCUUAAAAAGAUCCCAACUCUUUGUACUUGAGAUUGCUUUUGUUCAGAGCUGUCCGGCGUUUUCUCCCCUUUCAUGUCCCUGCACUGUUUGCUUUGCUGUGUGCACAUUGUGGGGUUUAAUGUGAAAUUCUGGUGGGUGAAAUUGUGCAUAUCUCCUCCUGUUUUGCCCUUUCCUUUUAGUACGCGAAGGAACCAGCAAAAAGGAAAAUGCUGUUACUAAACAUGUAAAUAAAUCAUAGAUUUGUAGUUUCAUAAUCAGUUUAGCAGAUUUUGUUCUAGUUGAUGUAUUAUAUUGCAUGUUUGUGUGUGAAAAUGAAGAGAAAGUAAAAACAAAAUUAUAUUUACCAUCAAUUCUGUUAAUUACGAGAAACUAGUUCACAAACACACAGGAGUACUAUCUUCAGCUCACCCUUUGUCUGCUUGUUUGUUUAAUAGAUUAGAUGGAUGUGCCAAACAGCAUGCUGCUGGGGCAACAUUAAUUUUAUUAUAGAAUAAAAAGUAGAACUAUUAGUCUGUGUUCCUGGCACGUUUGUAAGCUAUCUGACCUAUUUUCUCCUCCUGCCCUCUUCUCAGUGCUGACCAAAUUUCCCCUCUCCCUGUGCCUGAAUUAAAACUGGCUUACAGUUAAAGCAGCCCUGGAGAUGUUGCCCAGUCUCUUGGAAACAGAUAAGAAAUAUUGUUUUAAAUGUUUGAGCAAAAGGGAGAGACAACUUCAGCCCUUUAAACAAGGGGAUAAUCUGUGUACACCACAGGAAUAGGCUCACCUGGUUUCCUUCCCUUCAGUUGCGAAAAUAAUUUCAGGGGGCAAUAUUUGCCUCAUGUUUAUCAACAAAAAUACCUGGAUGGUUUGUCUUAAAUUUAUUACAUUUUAGGAGAAAAACCAAGCUGGGAGACUACACUUCCCAGAAUCCUCAGGAGAAGUGUGUGAUGUCUGAUAAGGACUUCUAAAAUUAAAGCAUUGAGGUUUUGCAGCUGCUUAUCUUGAGGAGUUAGAAGUAUGUUUCUAAAUGAUGUUCCUUGCAAAAAUUCCCAAACCAACCUCUCAAUAUUGUGUUGUCACUGCAGAUGAAAACCAGGCCUUUAGGUUCCAAAAGUCAUCAUUAACAAUAUAGUUAUUCCACAUCUCCAAAAAUCAUGACAGAUGUAAAAAAAGAUCUGGUUUGAAUCAAAAAUUUUAGCCAUGCCCAAUGUCAAGUGUCUUCUUCCCCCUGAACAGCUCUUUUGCCCUGCUUUUUGUUCUGGGCAGUUAGAUUUUGGUAUGCUGAAAGGUAAUACAUUAUUUAGGAUUUUAGGUGUGAAAAUAAAAACAACCAAUCAAUAUAGCACUUAAUAUAACACUACUUGAAAUUUCUCUUUUGACCUUGACCAGUUGUUUUUCAGUCAGGGCCGUGUCUGCAGGGAAGGGCGUGCUCAGACUGGCCUGGAAGUAACAAACUGAAUUACCGUGUCCCAGCACUGCAGGUGGACAGAGCUAAUCCUGCUAACGUGGCCGGGAUGGAUUCCAGCCAGACGGGGCAGAGGGCAGAGAAAUGUCUCUGUGCACACCCUGAACUGCACAGGCAUUUGGAUGCUUGACUUUGGCACAACUUGGUGUGAGACAAGGAAGAGUCUCAGUAGGCCAGUCAGAAAUGCUGCCCCAGCUGGGAUGAAGCCCAGUUCAGUGCCUGUGCUGUUCCCUCAUUUCAGUCCCCAUCAAGCCCCAUUUCUCUGUUUUGCCCGGAGUUGUGAGCUUUUUGUCACCCAUUAGUAAGAGCAGUGUGAGAGGCUCGGAUACGCUUUGUUAUUGGACGCAAUUCUAACAAUGCUUUUCCACAUCUCUGACUUUUCCCAUCAAAAGUACCUUGGAAACUUCAUCUUAUUAAUACUCAAAUCUGCAUGCACAGUGGAUUUUUAAUGGCAGUGGAGGAACUGCCAUUUGAGAAACCUCACAAUGUGUUGAAAUCUAAAAAUACAACAUUGUCUUCUUCUCCACCAUCCCUCUGGUUCAUGCGUUCUUUCAGGAUGUGCCAAAACAAGUCUUAAUCUCUGUCUUCAAGAUACUGUAUUGUAGUGUGUGUUCCAGCCUAGAUAAGCUAUCUGGGAUGCAUUUUUAUUACACUGCAAGGUAUUAUUAUUGUUCAUGUAGAAUAAUAGUGAAAAUAGUGGUUUUUCGUUUGUGUUUUUGAGCUUUGUGUAUGCCCCAGAGGUAGAUAAGGAGUUUAUGAAGAAAGGUUAUAUUUAAGAGAAAUGGGUAUCAGUGCUAUGAGAUUAUACCCAUGACAGAUGGUUGUAACUAAAGCUUCAUCUUGGUGCUGAAAAGCUGAAUGAAACAGUAUUCAGAUUUUGAAGUAAUAUUGGCUUCAUUUCAAUGGGACUUUUGCCUGAGUAAGAACAGACUAAAAAACUCACUAAUGAUUCUAAUUUUUUGUGUCAGCUUUGAGUAGAUUUUCAAAAAUUGAACUUUAUUUCUGCCUAUUUUGGAUUGAUAAAAUUCCAACAACAACACGGAAGGGGGGUUGUUUGUUUGUUUACAGAAAUAUGUGCAACAUUAUGCCUUUGUUCACUGGGAUGACAAGAUAUAAACCAACAUUGUUUUAUUCACGCUGUAAAGCAAAACAUCUUACUGGGAAUCAUGAAAGAGUUGUAAAAGUGGGUUUGGUUUUUUUUUUUUCCUCUUAGUUUCCAGAGCUGGUUGCGAACCUCAGAAUUUUGUGAGGUUCAGUCAGAAUAGUUAUGUAAAAGUUCAGAUGCUAACCUUAAGCAAACCCAAAUAUCUUGAGGCUGGGAAUCUCUACAAGAACAUAUUUCCCCUUGACUUGUCUAAUACAAUGAGUUCAGCCAGGCUACACCCUGGGGAGUUCUGGCCCACCAUGCAGUGUGUGUGUGCUUUAAGUGCUUACACUCAGCCAUGAGGGUAUUUUUAAUUUCAUCUUGAGAAACUAAACUGAGGGACUUCACAAAUGAAUCCAUCAGGAAGACAAGGUUAAUUCUGGCCGCUGUUUGUGGGAGUAUGGUGCCUUCAAAUACCAACACAUUUUUUUUUUUCAGUGGUGGCAUUUGGAAGAAUAAAUGAAGUGUGACUCCCGGCAUCUCUUUAGUUGCCCUGAAAAUGGAAUGUCAAACAGCAUAUAAUCAUCUUCCUUGUUUAAAGAAAGAGGAGCAAGUGAGAGACCUAGUUUUCUAUUUGUGUCAGUUUUUGGAUGUCUUAAUAUUCUAUCUUGUCUAAUUUUCCAGAGAGUGAUAAUAGAGUUCCUGUCAAAUUAGAGGUUACAGACUCUUUAACCUUUAUGUCACAAAAAAACCCCUACAUUCCUUAUUAUUACCACGAAUAUAAUCCAAAUAAAAAUUUCACUUUUAAUGCUGUUACGCUGAAUGUUGCAUUCCAAGCAUAUAAUUUUAUUCAUUAUAAAUAUUAAAAAUAUUCAGCCUGACAUUAGCCUGCUUGCUCCCCGAUCUCUUUUAAGAAAUGCUGAUCUGGAUGUGUCACCUCUUGGUCUGGGGAGCAGCAGUUUGGGCUCAGCCCCUGCACUGUCAGGGCUGAGCAAGCACUGCUGCCCUGCCAAGUGCAGCUCUCAGCUUCAGCUGAUGUGGCAGAGAUGUUCUCAGGUGGAGCAGCCUGAUGUCACCAUCUUUGAGGAGCGGGAGUGAGCCAGGGGAUGAAUUAUUGAGUUGUACUUGCCCCACGCUGGGGGUUUGCUGUCAGGAGAGCCUGAUGUGGCACCGCUGGAAUUUCAGUCGCAUCCUGCUAAGGGGGCUCUUUCCUUUUGCAGAGAGUGCUGCAAAGGCCUAAGUUCCUUUAAAAUUCAAAAGCUGCAGCCCUCUUCGGUGUAAGUAGAGCCAUGGCAAGUAUGACCUGCUGUUUGGUCCAGUUUUGUUCUCAUUUACAUGGAAUCCAACAAAUUUAGGCCUGCUGUAAAAGGGCCUUACUUUCAAACUUACAACAAAUCAGUAGUGAGUGAACUCAUAAUCUCAUUCUUACAUCGUUUCAGCUCAAAAUCCAAAAUGCCUGGGACUCCUGUACCCAGUCUUAGUGCCCAGUGUUCCCGGAGAUGCAAAUCCAAGGCUGGGUUUUUUGUUUUGUUUUGUUUUCAAUCAGGUGAGCGCCACACGCUUCGGUUCUGUAAUGAGAGUUUUUGCACUGUCCUAAUUAAUACAGUGUGCCUGUCCUGGACCUUUGAAGUAAGUGGGAGUUCUGCCACCAAUUUAAAUAGGAGAAGGAUUUGAGCCAAUUUGAACAGAAGUUUUCACUUAUCUUAGUGCCUAAUCUUCUUUUUAAAGGGAUGUGGGAGUAUCGGCACCUCCUACGUAACGCUCAUCAGUGUGCAGAAGUAAACUAGUCUGGUCACUUGUGGAGGCCCAUUUAAAACCAGGAGGAUUACUCAGCCUUCCUCUUGCUGAUGACCGGGUUCCUGUUUGAUCCUGUUUACAAGCCUUCCAAGACUGAAAAUAACCCCAACUCCUCUGCACUGGCACUUGGAAGCAGAAGGAAACAAAGAGGAGUUGAGAACUGAAGCUGGGAGACUUGGCAGCUAAUUCAGAGGCAGCAAUUGUGUGAGCAGCCCCUUGGCAAGAGGACCAAGAGUAGCUUGUGACAGAGCUGAAUGGAGAUGAUCCCAAGCUGAAAGUCAGAACAGGAUCUUCUCUCGAGUUCACCGAGCGACCUGCAAUUGUAUUCCAGCACCUUCCACAGGUAAGAGACUUCCCCAGAAAGGUGUUUUCACAUCCCAGUCAUAACUCCUGCUCUUCGGUGCCUGCAGGUUUGGAAGCUGCUGGUGCAGUGCCAGGUGCUAGUGCCAGGUUUUGUGUGGUUCCCUUGGGCUUGAAGGUGUCUCCUGGUGGAGUCAGGGCAGAGUCCCGUUGCAUUUGCCAGCAAUCCUGCACCAGGAGCUCAUGCACAGAAUAUUACCUGAGCCAGAACUGAGGAUUAGAACUGCUGCUUGAGCCUUUGUAUCUCAUUUCCAUGUAAACCAGGAGAGGUUUGUUUGAGUUAAGCAAGAGGUCUAGGUCAAGGUGGGGAGUGUUGCUGGCUCCUGGCCUGUUGCUGGAGCUGAUUCCUGGGGACAGUAAUUUGGUCCCAAACUGUGUUCUUGGUACAGAAUAAACAACAAACCCCCAAUGAACUGAACCUGAGACAUUCCAGCUUGCAUUUGAGAUGUGUACAAACAACAGGGAUCUAGCUGACAGAGGUGCCUGCCCAUCCAGGCUGGGCCAGCUGCUGGCAGCACCAGGCAAGCUGGUGCUCCUGAGCUGCUGGGCUGAGCCCUUCAGAAGGCACUCAGGGUGGGCAUGAGCCCUCUGAAGUUUCUUUAUUGCUUUUUUUUCAUUUCUGUAGGCUCUCUCUUGGCAUGAGGUGCCAGAUUCCCAAGUAGACCCGAGCUUCCCUUUUUUCUUUAUACACAAUACCUGUGCAGUCCAUGUAAAAUGCUCUGCCACGUGAGUUAUGAGAAGUCAUGCUCCAUGGGAACGGGGGGGCAUGCCCUGCUCCUGCUCACUGGAAGGGCAGUAUAUCCAAGAUCAUGCAAACUCCUCCAUCAUGAUUUCACUGGGGGUGUCAACAGCAAGAAAAUAUGGGAUUUUAUUCUUUGUGGCAUAGUUUUGGUCGGAGAUGGGGUUUCAGACUAGUAACAUCCUUCUUCCUCAGCUAACAUCCCCAAAAGACCUCUGCGUGAAGAUGUAGGCAGCGCACUGAGUGUGUCCCAAACAUCCUGUUUUAGUCCCCCAGGGCUGGGGGUGAGUGACUGUGUGGUGUGCAAUGAAGCACAGCACUUGGUGGCUUCUGCUGCUGCCACACAGACCCCCCCAAAAUGAGGGGCUACCUCUGCAGCUGUGUGGGGAGUGAGAGCCAGGAUGCUGCCAUGGGGCAGCAGCCACAAAAGCCACUUUCCCACAGAUACUAUCCUGUCCUGGCUUCAGAUUAUUCCUUAAUCAUUAGCCCUAAUGAAGGGCUUUUGUCAUA